rnacentral:rRNA from 1 species
AUCUGCCCCUAAGACGAGGAUAACAGUUGGAAACGACUGCUAAGACUGGAUAGGAGACAAGAGGGCAUCUUCUUGUUUUUAAAAGACCUAGCAAUAGGUAUGCUUAGGGAGGAGCUUGCGUCACAUUAGUUAGUUGGUGGGGUAAAGGCCUAACAAGACUAUGAUGUGUAGCCGGGCUGAGAGGUUGAACGGCCACAUUGGGACUGAGACACGGCCCAAACUCCUACGGGAGGCAGCAGUAGGGAAUUUUCGGCAAUGGAGGAAACUCUGACCGAGCAACGCCGCGUGAACGAUGAAGUAUUUCGGUACGUAAAGUUCUUUUAUUAGGGAAGAAUAAAUGAUGGAAAAAUCAUUCUGACGGUACCUAAUGAAUAAGCCCCGGCUAACUAUGUGCCAGCAGCCGCGGUAAUACAUAGGGGGCAAGCGUUAUCCGGAAUUAUUGGGCGUAAAGGGUGCGUAGGCGGUUAAAUAAGUUUAUGGUCUAAGUGCAAUGCUCAACAUUGUGAUGCUAUAAAAACUGUUUAGCUAGAGUAAGAUAGAGGCAAGUGGAAUUCCAUGUGUAGUGGUAAAAUGCGUAAAUAUAUGGAGGAACACCAGUAGCGAAGGCGGCUUGCUGGGGUCUUUACUGACGCUGAGGCACGAAAGCGUGGGGAGCAAACAGGAUUAGAUACCCUGGUAGUCCACGCCGUAAACGAUGAGUACUAAACGUUGGGGUAAAACCAGUGUUGAAGUUAACACAUUAAGUACUCCGCCUGAGUAGUACGUACGCAAGUAUGAAACUUUAAAGGAAUUGACGGGACUCCGCACAAGCGGUGGAUCAUGUUGUUUUAAUUCAAAGGUACCCGAAAAACCUCACCAGUCUUGACAUGCUUCUGCAAAGCUGUAGAAACACAGUGGAGGUUAUCAGUUGCACAGGUGUGCAUGUUUGUCGUCAGCUCGUGUCUGGAGAUGUUGGGUUAAGUCCGCAACGAGCGCAACCUUAUUGUUAGUACCAGCACGUAAUGUGGGGGACUUUACCAGACUGCCAAUGAUAAAUUGGAGGAAGUGGGGACAACUUCAAAUCAUCAUGCCCCUUAUGACCUGGGCUACAAACGUGAUACAAUGGCUGUUACAAAGGGUAGCUGAAGCGCAAGUUUUUGGCAAAUCUCAAAAAAACAGUCUCAGUUCGGAUUGAAGUCUGCAACUCGACUUCAUGAAGUUGGAAUCGCUAGUAAUCGCGAAUCAGCAUGUCGCGGUGAA